AGCGGAGGUUUUUUUUUGUUUUUUUUUGUUUUCUCUUUUUUUACUUGAAACAAAGUCUCAGCACAGCAGCCCGAUGAGAGGCGAUGCCAGGCAGGCGACGGUCUGAGAGAAGGACUGAGGCGCGAGUGCAGAUGUGGAAGAAGGAUGCUAUGGGGGACCAUGUCAGAGGCCUUACUGAAGACCAGAUAGAUGACACCAGUGACUCUUCCCCUGUCCAUUGAUGCAGUGACACCAUCAUAAAAAGCCACUAGGUCAGUCAGUUCUCUGCUACAUGGGUCAACACAGUGGACUUUAGAACUUGUACUACAUGUCCAAGAUGAGUUUUUAAAGCUCUGUUGGCAG